GAUGAACGCUGACAGAAUGCUUAACACAUGCAAGUCUACCGUUGCUGACGGGUGAGUAACGCGUAAAGAACUUGCCUCACAGCUAGGGACAACAUUUGGAAACGCAUGAUAAUAUCUGAUACUGUGGGAGAGCUUUGCGUCCCAUUAGCUAGUUGGAGAGGUAACGGCUCAGCUAGGCUAUGAUGUGUAGCCGGCCUGAGAGGGUGAUCGGCCACAAGGGGACUGGGAAGCGGCACGUACUCAAACGGGAGGAAGCAGUGGUGAGUAUUGGGCGAUGGACCAAAGUCUGAUCCAGCAAUUCUGUGUGUACGAUGAAGUUUUCGUGAUGUAAAAUGCUUUCAGUUGGGAAGCGGUACCAACAGAGGAAGUGACGGCGAAAUACGUGCCAGCAGCCGCGGUAAUAC
rnacentral:rRNA from 1 species